UACGAAGGGGGCGAGCGUUGUUCGGAUUUACUGGGCGUAAAGGGCGCGCAGGCGGUUCUGUUUGUCGAGUGUGAAAGCCCCGGGCUCAACCUGGGAACUGCGCUCGAAACGGCGGAACUAGAGUUCGGGAGAGGAGAGUGGAAUUCCCAGUGUAGAGGUGAAAUUCGUAGAUAUUGGGAAGAACACCGGUGGCGAAAGCGGCUCACUGGAUCGAAACUGACGCUGAGGUGCGAAAGCUAGGGUAGCAAACGGGG
rnacentral:rRNA from 1 species